GAACGCUGGCGGCGCGCCUAACACAUGCAAGUCGAACGAGAGAUGAGGAGCUUGCUCUUCAAAUCGAGUGGCGAACGGGUGAGUAACGCGUGAGGAACCUGCCUCAAAGAGGGGGACAACAGUUGGAAACGACUGCUAAUACCGCAUAAGCCCACAGCUCGGCAUCGAGCAGAGGGAAAAGGAGCAAUCCGCUUUGAGAUGGCCUCGCGUCCGAUUAGCUAGUUGGUGAGGUAACGGCCCACCAAGGCGACGAUCGGUAGCCGGACUGAGAGGUUGAACGGCCACAUUGGGACUGAGACACGGCCCAGACUCCUACGGGAGGCAGCAGUGGGGAAUAUUGCACAAUGGGGGAAACCCUGAUGCAGCGACGCCGCGUGGAGGAAGAAGGUCUUCGGAUUGUAAACUCCUGUUGUUGAGGAAGAUAAUGACGGUACUCAACAAGGAAGUGACGGCUAACUACGUGCCAGCAGCCGCGGUAAAACGUAGGUCACAAGCGUUGUCCGGAAUUACUGGGUGUAAAGGGAGCGCAGGCGGGAGAACAAGUUGGAAGUGAAAUCCAUGGGCUCAACCCAUGAACUGCUUUCAAAACUGUUUUUCUUGAGUAGUGCAGAGGUAGGCGGAAUUCCCGGUGUAGCGGUGGAAUGCGUAGAUAUCGGGAGGAACACCAGUGGCGAAGGCGGCCUACUGGGCACCAACUGACGCUGAGGCUCGAAAGUGUGGGUAGCAAACAGGAUUAGAUACCCUGGUAGUCCACACCGUAAACGAUGAUUACUAGGUGUUGGAGGAUUGGCCCCUUCAGUGCCGCAGUUAACACAAUAAGUAAUCCACCUGGGGAGUACGACCGCAAGGUUGAAACUCAAAGGAAUUGACGG
rnacentral:rRNA from 1 species